UGCACUGGAAGAAGCCACAAAUUUGGCAUCUCCUGCAGGACCAUAUUCUUCACGGAAGCUAUUAAAAAUCUAUGCCAAGGAAACAUUCCUCAGAUGCAAGUUUUGGCAACCUGGAUGGGAUUUUCACUGGCUAGACCCUACUGGCUCUGGGGCUGCUGCACCCAAGAGAUCAUGGGAACUGACAGAAAGCUGGCAGAAGUCUUUUGAUUUGGAACCAGUGAGAACUAAGCCUGCCCUUUUUCCUGGAGCUCUGCAGACUGAAGCUAGAUGACUUGGUAUGAGCUUCAGUGAAAUCAUCACAAGAGCUUAUCUUUAGACAAUCUGAGUGCUUGUUCCUGUGUGGGCCCUUAGAGUUUACCUGAACACCCAAUGACAUCAUCAGAAACAUUCAAACUGCAAAUGAUGCUUUGAGCCUUACAUCUGUCAAUGGCAUGUUCCGUUUCUGGCAUCAGUUCUUGAGCUUAGUCAAGAAAGAAUUCAGAGCCAAACUCUUAGGUAAGCAAGUGUUAAUAGCAGUUUAAGCAAAAGUACACCCUCAAGAUAGGAACGUGUGCAGGCCCAGAGGUGGGAGCUGCAUGGGGGCGGGGAGUCAGUGUUGUCUUUUCUUUUUAUGUUUGGAUAGGUUAUGACUUAUAACUAGGGCAGUUUCUGACUCAGGUCACAGCCAAAUCAUAGAGGGGACCUCCCCUACUAGUUGGGAGGGGGAGUUUUGGCCCUAUAUGGUCCUUGUCUGAACUGUCCUGGCAGCCAUUUUCUGCAAGGUGGGUUAAAACCACAAUGUGAAUGUAUUAUAAUGAAGCCAUAGGUUACUAUAGGGCAGUGGUCAUUCGGAAGAACACACAGAUAUCCCUUGGGGUCUGUCCAGGCUGUUUGGAGCUUGGCUUCCACACCCUUUCAUAGGCUGGAAAGCAUUUGUUUCCUACUCAUAACGUGCUAACCGCCUACUCUAUCACAUCUAGAAAUCUCUUCUCUUGCCUGCCCUCAGGACUCAGACUGGCUUUAUAGUCAACUCCAUUCAUUAACUUUUCAUUUUCUUUUGCUUCUACAGAAAUGCCUUAUUAAAUACCCAAUUUCUCACACAAUAUAGACCUAACUUUGGGAGUCUUUGCAAGGAAAAACCUGCAAGACCCACCUCCUGAAAUGAAACACAACCAUUACACUAAACUGACCUCUUCUUUG